rnacentral:rRNA from 1 species
UGGGGAAUAUUGGACAAUGGGGGGAACCCUGAUCCAGCCAUGCCGCGUGUGUGAAGAAGGCCUUAUGGUUGUAAAGCACUUUAAGCGAGGAGGAGGCUCUUUUGGUUAAUACCCAAGAUGAGUGGACGUUACUCGCAGAAUAAGCACCGGCUAACUCUGUGCCAGCAGCCGCGGUAAUACAGAGGGUGCGAGCGUUAAUCGGAUUUACUGGGCGUAAAGCGUGCGUAGGCGGCUUUUUAAGUCGGAUGUGAAAUCCCCGAGCUUAACUUGGGAAUUGCAUCCAAAACUGGCGAGCUAGAGUAGGGCAGAGGGUGGUGGAAUUUCCUGUGUAGCGGUGAAAUGCGUAGAUAUAGGAAGGAACACCAGUGGCGAAGGCGACCACCUGGGCUCAUACUGACACUGAGGUGCGAAAGCGUGGGGAGCAAACAGG